GAUGAACGCUAGCGGCAGGCUUAACACAUGCAAGUCGAGGGGUAACGGGGAAGCUUGCUUCCGCCGACGACCGGCGCACGGGUGCGUAACGCGUAUACAAUCUACCUUGUACUGGGGUAUAGCCUUUAGAAAUGAAGAUUAACCCCCCAUAGCCUCUUAGAGUGGCAUCACUUCUAGAGUAAAGGUUACGGUAUAAGAUGAGUAUGCGUUCUAUUAGUUUGUUGGUGUGGUAACGGCACACCAAGACUACGAUAGAUAGGGGCCCUGAGAGGGGGAUCCCCCACACUGGUACUGAGACACGGACCAGACUCCUACGGGAGGCAGCAGUGAGGAAUAUUGGACAAUGGAGGCAACUCUGAUCCAGCCAUGCCGCGUGCAGGAAGACUGCCCUAUGGGUUGUAAACUGCUUUUAUACAGGAAGAAACACCUCUACGUGUAGAGGCUUGACGGUACUGUAAGAAUAAGGAUCGGCUAACUCCGUGCCAGCAGCCGCGGUAAUACGGAGGAUCCAAGCGUUAUCCGGAAUCACUGGGUUUAAAGGGUCCGUAGGUGGAUAAUUAAGUCAGAGGUGAAAUCUUGCAGCUCAACUGUAAAAUUGCCUUUGAAACUGGUUAUCUUGAGUUAUUAUGAAGUAGUUAGAAUAUGUAGUGUAGCGGUGAAAUGCAUAGAUAUUACAUAGAAUACCAAUUGCGAAGGCAGAUUACUAAUAAUCAACUGACACUGAUGGACGAAAGCGUGGGUAGCGAACAGGAUUAGAUACCCUGGUAGUCCACGCCGUAAACGAUGGUUACUAGCUGUUUGGACUUCGGUCUGAGUGGCUAAGCGAAAGUGAUAAGUAACCCACCUGGGGAGUACGUUCGCAAGAAUGAAACUCAAAGGAAUUGACGGGGGCCCGCACAAGCGGUGGAGCAUGUGGUUUAAUUCGAUGAUACGCGAGGAACCUUACCAGGGCUUAAAUGUAAGUUGCAUUAGUUAGAGAUAGCUAUUUCUUCGGACCACUUACAAGGUGCUGCAUGGUUGUCGUCAGCUCGUGCCGUGAAGUGUCAGGUUAAGUCCUAUAACGAGCGCAACCCCUGUUGUUAGUUGCCAGCGAGUCAUGUCGGGAACUCUAGCAAGACUGCCAGUGCAAACUGUGAGGAAGGUGGGGAUGACGUCAAAUCAUCACGGCCCUUACGUCCUGGGCUACACACGUGCUACAAUGGUAGGUACAGAGAGCAGCCACUGCGCGAGCAGGAGCGAAUCUAUAAAACCUAUCACAGUUCGGAUCGGAGUCUGCAACUCGACUCCGUGAAGCUGGAAUCGCUAGUAAUCGGAUAUCAGCCAUGAUCCGGUGAAUACGUUCCCGGGCCUUGUACACACCGCCCGUCAAGCCAUGGAAGUUGGAAGUGCCUGAAGUCCGUCACCGUAAGGAGCGGCCUAGGGUAAAGUCGAUAACUAGGGCU
rnacentral:rRNA from 1 species